GGGGCCCCGCUGGCGCCCGGGCCAGCUCUCGGGUACGCGUCUUGUAGAUGGGUAAACUGAGGCCUGAGAGGGCGCGAGGGCGAGGACGAGGACUUGGGUUCGAAUCCCGGGGCUGCCAGUAGCCCACUCCGAGGCCGCGUGGGGCUGGUGGAGGAGCCACCGGUCGGGCCCCCAAGACCGACUGACGUGGCCCUCACCUCUGGCGACCCCCGCCCGGCUAGUGGCUGGCCGUGUGGUGACCUUGGGCGAGUUACUUCGCACCGCCACCCAGGGGCCUCUUCUCCAACAGGAUAGCACUGCACCGAGAGGGUAGGUGACAGUCGUGUUAGCGCUUGGAUGCCCUAGUGAGUGUCAGCGUCCUCAGUCGUCCCUGCGGUCAUCCCUUCAACAGAGGUGGAGCCUCGCUUUGUCCCCUAGGUCGGAGUGCAGUGGCGCCAUCGUAGCUCACCGUAACCUCAAAUUACUGGGCUCAAGUGAUCCUCCUGCCUCAGCCUCCCAAAGCGCUGGAACUACAGGCGUGAACCACUGCGCCUGGCACACAAUUGGUUUAACCACCACAUCAUUUUAGCAGCUUAGGAAACCGAAGUCUUGACUUCUAUUUUGGCUAUUGAAAAUACAGUGCAAUAUAAAUCCCGAAACCUCUGCUGAGCUGGAUGUGGAGUGUGUGUGGCAUCAUUUAGAACAUGGCAAUCUUCAGGUCACACAGGAAUGUCUUGUUAAUGAUACUUCUAUGAACAAUGCUCCUUGGAGGAAAGUCCACCUCAGCAAGGCUGGAGCAGCAGACGGGACAGCUGAGCCUGGGUUACUUGCCUUGCCUCUGGAAUAGGUCUUAGAGCAUUGGACUGAAGAGGGUCUGCCUCCUUUUAUCCUGGUGUUGGUCUCAGUAUCCGUCUGCCCAUUCUUGAGAAAUGGAAAUGGUCAGAAUCUAUCCAGGUUCUGAUCUGCAUCCCUGUGUCUAAUUUAAACUUUUAUUCCAUGACGUUUUGGGGAGUACCUGUCUCAUGAAGAGCCCUGAGGUUACAAGGAUAAUUAGAGCCUAAAUCUAAGGAGCCCAUAGUUGGGGAAACUAGUAUGUCAAUAGCUAAUGAGAGCACAGUGUUGUAAGUGCUCAUACCAGUUUUCUAUUCCUGCGUAACAAAUUAGCCCAAAUUUUGCAGCUUAAAGCAACACCAUUGAUUUACUCACAGUUGUGUAGGUCAGAAAACUGACAUGGUGUGGCUGAGUUUUCUGCUCGUGGUGUCAUAGGCUGAAAUCAAGAUGUCUAGAGACUCUGCGAGGGAAAGGUCUGCCCCAGGCUCCUUCAGGCUGUUGGCAGAAUUCAUGUCCCUGUAGGACUAGGAUCCCACAGCUACAUUGUUUUGCCAGAUCUCUGUUGGAGACCACUCUCAGGUCCUUGCCACAUGGUCCCUUUUAUCUCAUCAACAGAGAACCUCAUGUCAAUCCUCUCAUUCAUUAAAUAUCUCUGAUUUCCCUUCUUCAACCAGUCAGAGAACACGGUGAGCUUUUAAAAGACUUGUAAUUAGGUCAGACCCACCUAGCUAAUCUUCCUACUUUAAGGUCACCUGUGCCACAUCACAUACCCUAAUCACAGGAGUAAAAUUCAUCAUAGCCACUGUCCCAGGGACUAUGCAGAAGGUGUACAUGAAGGUUAAUCUAGGAGGCUACCUUAGAAUUCUGCCUACUACAUCCAGUGAGAAAUGUUCUCUUAAACAUUUUCUCUAUGAACUCCCCUAGCAGUUUGUUCUGUAACUCUGUCCAUGGCACAAUAUAUGUUGCCAUUAUUGGGGUAUAUUUCUAAACCUCUUUUCUAGGCUGAAAGCUUCUUGAGAUCAGGAACCUUAGUCACACCUGUAGCCUUAGAUAAGUCUUGGCAUGAGGGUGAUAUUCCCACAUCUGCUAAAAAUAAAUAAAUAAAUAGUAUGCGUAUUGUC